GUCAAGACAGUGGUCAUCUGUUGUGCAUUUUAAAGAAACAAUUUUAAAAGGAGCUGAGGACACAUUGAAAUCACAAAAUCUUUCUCAGGUGACCAGCAGUUCUCUAGUCAGUCUGGCACUGCUGGAAAGUCUCACUGCUGAACAACUGCUGCAGCGUUAUAUCUCUUUACGAUCUGAUGCUCUGCGUGCUGUUCUGUCUAGUCAUCAAACUCUGGACAGUGAUGCCAUCAAACAGCGACUCUGUCAUAGUUACACUCUUCUCAUUCAUUCUAUUACUGCCAUAUCAGACUGCUUUGUAGGUAAAGUACUUACCUUCCUUUCUUGUGUGAUAUUUUGGAUCCAUAUGUUAAAAGAAAAAGCUAUAUGACAGCUUAAAUAAAAUAUAUUUUUAGA